GGGUGAUUAGCUCAGUUGGUAGAGCAGCUGACUCUUAAUCAGCGGGUCGUAGGUUCGAUUCCUACAUCACCCACCA
rnacentral:tRNA from 2 species